rnacentral:rRNA from 1 species
GGCGAACGGGUGAGUAAUGCAUCGGAACGUGCCCAGUCGUGGGGGAUAACGCAGCGAAAGUUGUGCUAAUACCGCAUACGAUCUAUGGAUGAAAGCGGGGGACCUUCGGGCCUCGCGCGAUUGGAGCGGCCGAUGUUAGAUUAGGUAGUUGGUGGGGUAAAGGCUCACCAAGCCAACGAUCUAUAGCUGGUCUGAGAGGACGACCAGCCACACUGGAACUGAGACACGGUCCAGACUCCUACGGGAGGCAGCAGUGGGGAAUUUUGGACAAUGGGCGAAAGCCUGAUCCAGCAAUACCGCGUGCAGGAAGAAGGCCCUCGGGUUGUAAACUGCUUUUGUACGGAACGAAACGGCGUGCUCUAAUAAAGUGCGCUAAUGACGGUACCGUAAGAAUAAGCACCGGCUAACUACGUGCCAGCAGCCGCGGUAAUACGUAGGGUGCGAGCGUUAAUCGGAAUUACUGGGCGUAAAGCGUGC